UUUUAAUUUGGUGUUUUCCUAUGUAAUCUUCCUCAAGAUUACUAAUUUCCUUAAUUAAAUACCUUUAUCCUGCCAGUGCUCUCUCAUUUUCUGUAACUAGGGGCCCCCUCCCAAUUUCUGGCCUUUAUAAGCAAUAGGUGGGAGAGAUGGGUAUUUUAGUAUUCUGACAUAAGAAAAGACUCCUGUAGUUCUACAAUUAUCUUCUACAUAGCUACUAACAUUUUAAAUUUUUUUGUAAUAAUUUCAAACCAAACAAUUUCCAGUGCCUAUGAAUCCUGGUAACAAAAAGCCUGUUGUAUCUAAGACCUCACAAGUGGCUCUUAGGACAGAGUCACAGCAGAAGGGACAUCCCCAACCACAUAAGGCCAACCACAGACUGCAGGUUCCCACUGUGGUCCUCUAUACUUUAAAGAACAAGGUGUCUGAGAAGGAUCUCCCACCUUUUGGUAAGUGAUGACACUCAUUUCCCCCCUCCUUUUCCUCAAAUUGAGUUUUAUGAUUGUUUCUGAAAAUUUGUUUUUUUAUACUUACACCCUGUAGUUGGGUUCAUUCCAACUUUGUUUUAAUUUUUGGUGUUAUGCUUUGCUGUGCUUUUCAGAUUAGUUAAAAAAAUGUUUAUCUGGACUAACUUGUCUAUCACACUUGAAUUUCUUUGUGACUAUUAUCUCCAAACUAAACAAAUACUCAGCAAGUUACACUUUAUUUUUACCAGUGAUCAGACAGUUUUUAAACAUAAUAUAUUAUUAAAUAACAUUUUUUGGUCUUGGCAAAAUAAGGAAAUAAAUGUACAAGUUACACAUUUAGUAAGUUAAUUUUUCUAGUAAUGAAGUGUUUAUGUUGAUAUGAUUUUUCAACUAGUUUUGCCUUAUGAUCAAUAAAUUGUAGAAAUAUAGUUGCAAUGUUUUCAGCUAUGUGUCUGUAUGGAAGUGAUUAUGUUUCUUUUUUAUUGUACUAUGGUACUGGUAAUGGAAGUCUGGUCCUUGUGCAUGGUAGGCAUGAAGGUGACUUCUUUUUAUUGAAUCACUGAUUCUGCAACUUGGGAGCAGUGAGAAUACAUCUAAUGCCUGAAUGUUAAACAGCAAAAAACAUUUCUAAUUUUUC
rnacentral:lncRNA from 1 species